rnacentral:tmRNA from 1 species
GGGGAUGAUCGGCCUAGACAGGAAAUUCCCGUAUUUGUGUGCAAUGCGGAGCACCGUUAACUCCUAAAUCUGACGGAAAUCGUAACUGCAAAAACAGUUGCUAAAGCAAAGGCUGUUGUGUCUCCAUUUUUUGGAACCAAUAACUUUGCUUUCGCUUACGCAAACGCCUAAGCGACAUUGAUCGAGUCUUCUCCACGGGAUUCGAAUCGGUGUUAUAUUGUGGAUCAGAAUGUGUCCCCUUUCCGAGACAUGUUCGAAACUUAGGGAAUCGGCAUUCGUGAGUUUUGCUCAUUCUAUAUCACGAGUUCCUAAAUCUGCUCCGGCAGGAAAAAUAAGCUAAGCAUUGUAGAUUCACCAAUACUCAUUUCUUGCACGGCGGUUCGAUUCCGCCCAUCUCCACAA